UACGAAGGGGGCUAGCGUUGCUCGGAUUGACUGGGCGUAAAGGGCGCGUAGGCGGUUCGUACAGUCAGACGUGAAAUUCCUGGGCUCAACCUGGGGGCUGCGUUUGAUACGUGCGGACUUGAGUGCGGAAGAGGGUCGUGGAAUUCCCAGUGGUAGAGGUGAAAUUCGUAGAUAUUGGGAAGAACACCGGUGGCGAAGGCGGCGACCUGGUCCGAUACUGACGCUGAGGCGCGAAAGCGUGGGGAGCAAACAGG
rnacentral:rRNA from 1 species